CAGUGAAUCUCCAGAAGCAGCUCAGGGGUGAGCCUAGAGAUGCGAUGGGGAGGCCACAGUAGAAGAACGAAGGUCUGAACUAGGCAAGACAUUCUCAAUGUCAUCCCGAAAUGCCUAGAUCCGGCUGCACCCAAGAGGUUGGCUUUUCAGCACCCGGUUUACAAAGCCACUUUGUACUGAGUUUCUGCCACUUGCAACAGGAUAUUGGCUUAUUUAUGCAUACGCAGGCCUUGGAAACUUGUCAGUAGCCAUCUUCACUGAAUACCUGUCCUGUGCCUACUCCAGACCCAGCUGAAGAGCUCCUGUGUGGCAGUACUGGCCUGGCCUCCGGAAGUCCCUGCUUUCACCUUGACCUUUACCAGAAGCUAUGUUCGACACGCCCACCCAAGGCUGCUCAACACAGAUUUGAACGC
rnacentral:sRNA from 1 species